GAUGAACGUUGGCGGUGUGCCUAAUACAUGCAAGUCGAACGGAGAUCAUAAAGUAGUAAUACCUUGUGAUUCUUAGUGGCGAACGGGUGAGUAACGCGUUGGUGACCUGCCCCGAAGAGUGGAAUAACAAUUCGAAAGAAUUGCUAAUACCGCAUGUGAUUUUAGAGAAUAGAUGCCCUUUAAUUCAAGGAUUUAUUCGCUUCGGGAGGGGCCUGCGUCCCAUCAGCUAGUUGGUAAGGUAAUGGCUUACCAAGGCUAUGACGGGUAGGGGACCUGAGAGGGUGGCCCCCCACAAUGGAACUGAAACACGGUCCAUACACCUACGGGUGGCAGCAGUAGGGAAUAUUAGUAAUGGGCGAAAGCCUGAACUAGCAACACCGCGUGUGCGAAGAAGGCCUUCGGGUUGUAAAGCACUUUCCGGGAGGAUGAGGAAGGACGGUACUCCCGGAAUAAGUCUCGGCUAACUACGUGCCAGCAGCCGCGGUAACAC
rnacentral:rRNA from 1 species